rnacentral:lncRNA from 1 species
CCGAUCUUGUUUGUGCACCUUGGUGUGGCGGGUUACCUAGAAACCAGGCCAGAACCCGCUCCCUCUCUUCCAGAGAUUCUGUAACCUCACAAAAGUGUCCCCAUAAACAGAUUGCUUGUCACCAGGGGGCGGGGGUGUGUGCGGGCUGGAACCCAGUUUGGACUUGAUCCAAGUUGACCUGCAAAGCCUGGGUUCCUGCUUUCAAAGGCUUCUUUGCUGGGCUCUACACCCACCUGCCCUGCAGUCAGGUUUAGGCAGACAAGAAACCGCCUCUGGACGAGAAAGUCCUGGGGCUGCGGCUCAGCAUUUUCCAUUUUCUCAGAGGUGGGGUGGGCCGCGUUCAGGUCUAGAAGUGAUGUCACAACCAGCCCUGUAAAGUGAUGUAACCUACACUUGAAGGACUAGGACCCGGCUACUAUUUUGAGACUCUUGAGUUCCUUCCUUCCUCCCUGGAGACAAGUGGAUGACUAUGGAGAACUCACAAAGCCGCUCAGGGAAGCAAAUGAACAUGGGAUGGAAGAGGAGGAGGCCCUACCUCAAGCAUCAUUCCCGGCAUCUCCAGGACAAACUUCCUGCUCAAGUAGCACGAUGUGGAGAUUCUUGGCAGUUCCACCAGGCAACCCUCUCAACACUGAAUCUCCAACACCUGGCUGCAAAGGACUGUUUGAUGAGCAUCUCAUGAGUGGGACCAACGGGUUGGCUGAGUUCCCCAGACUUUAUCAUGUUGACCCUGGAUCUUUAGCUGUCACCCAAAGCAUCUUUCUUUCUUUUUUUCCAUUUUACCAUUAUAACAUCUUUGCUACUUCAUUUUUUUACAGCUUUCCAUAAAGAAUUAAGGUUUGCAAAUAUAUAAAUAUGUAUAAAUGCAUAUGUAAUAUUCAACAGUAUAAAAAAUAAUCACGGC